CCUACGGGAGGCAGCAGUGAGGAAUAUUGGUCAAUGGACGCAAGUCUGAACCAGCCAAGCCGCGUGCAGGAAGACGGCUCUAUGAGUUGUAAACUUCUUUUGUACGAGAGUAAACGCAGAUACGCGUAUCUGUCUGAAAGUAUCGUACGAAUAAGGAUCGGCUAACUCCGUGCCAGCAGCCGCGGUAAUACGGAGGAUUCAAGCGUUAUCCGGAUUUAUUGGGUUUAAAGGGUGCGUAGGCGGGCGGAUAAGUCAGAGGUGAAAUUCCGAGGCUCAACCUUGGAAUUGCCUUUGAUACUGGUAGGCUAGAGAGUAGUUGAGGUAGGCGGAAUGUGUGGUGUAGCGGUGAAAUGCUUAGAGAUCACACAGAACACCGAUUGCGAAGGCAGCCUACCAAGCUACUUCUGACGUUGAGGCACGAAAGCGUGGGGAGCAAACAGGAUUAGAUACCCUUGUAGUC
rnacentral:rRNA from 1 species